AUUUGGGAAUAAUCAAGGUGGAUUUUCCAGCUGCAAAUUUCACCCGACCAACCUUGUCUUCUUCUACAACAUGACUUAUAUUGGUUAUAUGGAUGAGAGGUUUUCCUCAUUUUGUUUCUGGAGUGGUCCUGUUCAGCUGUGCAUUUGGAGAGCAUUCUGGAUUACUCAUGUUGUGGUAGACAUUCUGCAGUUCUACUGCCAGGUUCCAGCUCAUUUUCAGAGGAACAGCCAAGUACUCCACAUGGUCAGCACUGACACAACUCAGUUUUAUAUACACAGCCACCACUCAUGUGAGAAAGAGCUCACAUAUUUGGGGAUAUACUAGG